CGCCGAGGCGCGUGCCUGCUGGGAUCCUGGGCCACGCCGGGCGGUUCCUACUUGGCCUUGCGGCCUUCAGUCCAGCUAAGAAGUCUUAUACUCCAGAGCAACUGUCUACUAUUUAAAAGAGGGCCUCCCUGAUGGUCCAGUGGUUAAGAAUCUGCCUUGCAAUGCAAGGGACAUUGCUUUGGUCCCUGAUCCAGGAAGAUCUCACACACUGCGGAGCAACUAAGCCUUUUGUUCACCACAACUACCGAGUCAGUGUGCGGCAACUCCUGACACUCAUGCUCCUGGAGCCUGUGGAGGAGGACCCACUGCAGUGAGAAGCCUGCGCGCUGCAGCGAAGAGUAGCCCCCACUGGCAGCAGCUAGAGAAAGCCCAAAUGCAGCGACAAAUAA